rnacentral:rRNA from 1 species
GUGGGGAAUUUUGGACAAUGGGCGCAAGCCUGAUCCAGCCAUGCCGCGUGCAGGAUGAAGGCCUUCGGGUUGUAAACUGCUUUUGUACGGAACGAAAAGACUCCUUCUAAUAAAGGGGGUCCAUGACGGUACCGUAAGAAUAAGCACCGGCUAACUACGUGCCAGCAGCCGCGGUAAUACGUAGGGUGCGAGCGUUAAUCGGAAUUACUGGGCGUAAAGCGUGCGCAGGCGGUUAUAUAAGACAGAUGUGAAAUCCCCGGGCUCAACCUGGGAACUGCAUUUGUGACUGUAUAGCUAGAGUACGGCAGAGGGGGAUGGAAUUCCGCGUGUAGCAGUGAAAUGCGUAGAUAUGCGGAGGAACACCGAUGGCGAAGGCAAUCCCCUGGGCCUGUACUGACGCUGAGGUGCGAAAGCGUGGGGAGCAAACAGGAUUAGAAACCCGAGUAGUCC